rfam:Enterovibrio nigricans DSM 22720 genome assembly, contig: BP91DRAFT_scaffold00122.122
AGACUACGACGUAGAUAGGUCAGGUGUGUAAGCGCUGCGAGGCGUUGAGCUAACUGAUACUAAUUGCCCGUGAGGCUUAACCAU